GUUUAGUAGCUGAAGCCUGUUGGCCUCUGGAAAAGUGCAAUUGUAAUGUCAGAUGACUCAGCUCACCAGGUGAGCAAGAGGGUCUGUGCCUCUGCAAAACAAAGAAGUGAAAAAUUAAGAUGUAUUGCAGAGUGGUGCCUCUGUUUAUAGUUGCAGUGGCAACCAGGCUGACAGUGAAAGCAGGGGAAAAGCCCUCAGCACUCAAAAGGAAACUGAAAGAAUUGAGAAGAAAGGAUGGAUAACUGCACAGGAGAGUUUGUUUUCUACAAAUCUUCUGGCACUCUGCACAUCUCUCCUGGAGGCCUGUUGUUUAGGGGGCAGCAUCUGUGUGGUGCCAGCUCAUUUUUCACGUAACAAAGGCACUGAGUGAUGCCUGCGGCACGCACCAAGCAGCUCCGAAGAGUCCCUGUGGCCACUGGAUGUCACUGUUGUUCCGCAGAAAGCAGCCCAGCAAGCUAACCCCAGGCAGGCAAUGCGAUGGCAAUGAUACAGGAGAGCGUCGUACUUUCACAUCCUCUGCAAUCUGCUGCACGAACUAGCUCUGAAGCAUCCUAGUUACGUGCAAAGAGUCCAUAUGGAUGCUAUGGGUGUCAUGUUUAUAGGUGUCAGUACUGUGUGUUUGCAUUCGAUUCUAUUCCUCAUCAACACUGUGAUGAAAUUAGCUCUACUGCAGGACUGAAGGGAAUCAAAGUGUUCAUUGUAGAGAUGUGUUUGGGCUGAGGACCAGAUUAGAGGACAGUCAGUUGUCUGGCACAUAGCCUGCAAUGGAAAUCAGUUUCUGGAUCUGAGGGUUCAACACAGAGCUGUCAUGCUUUGGUGCUUUAGGGAAGGCUUUUUCCUCUCAGAAACCAAUCUGUCUUUAGAUUAACUCUACCGAGAUGUCAAAAUUUGUUUUCCC
rnacentral:lncRNA from 1 species